AACGAACGCUGGCGGCAGGCUUAACACAUGCAAGUCGAACGGGCGUAGCAAUACGUCAGUGGCGGACGGGUGAGUAACACGUGGGAAUAUGCCUUUCGGUUCGGAACAACUCGGGGAAGGCCCGUGCUAAUUCCGGAUACGCCCUUACGGGGAAAGAUUUAUCGCCGAAGAUUAGCCCGCGUUGGAUUAGCUAGUUGGUGAGGUAAAGGCUCACCAAGGCGACGAUCCAUAGCUGGUUUGAGAGAACGACCAGCCACACUGGGACUGAGACACGGCCCAGACUCCUACGGGAGGGCAGCAGUGGGGAAUCUUGGACAAUGGGCGCAAGCCUGAUCCAGCCAUGCCGCGUGAGUGAUGAAGGCC
rnacentral:rRNA from 1 species